UAUCUAUCUUCCAUGCACGAUUAUUAAUAUUUAAUUUGUCCAAAUUCACUUACAACUCCACUCAUAAUAAUCUAUAUAAAAAAAAAACAAUAGCCUAAUUAUCUCCUAUUGUGCCCAUUACUGCUGCGCUUGUAUCUUUCGCUCCGUGAUUAUUUCUCCCGCUCAUGCAAUUUAUUUCCAAUCAUUUUUGUCUAUCCGAGAUAAAUUAUUUUGGUAAAGAAGCUAAUCUUGGUCAUUAGUUUGGCUGUGAGUCCGAGUAAAACCAGUCGCACCAGUGAGGAAGCCUGCGCGCAUGCGCACAUCCGCCGCUCUACAGCAGCACGCGGGCUAGUUCACAUUUCAAACUCCACACAUCGCCAACGCUCCCGGCACCAAUCUCGAUUACGGAUUUUCACGGUAAAAACACACUUCGUAGGGUCACGGGUCUUAAUUCUGAGUACGCCAGGCCAUGACAGCAGAACAGAAGACAGCUGAUGCUUUGAAACAAAUGAACAUUUCUGAGCUUUUUCCCUCAGAUCCCGUCUCAUUUUCACUGAUUAAAAGAUCUUUUUCUGAUUUGAAGGCCAAUUAAAACCAGCUAAAGUCAUGCAAAAGGAGAAGACAUGUUCAGUGGUUCUGCUGAUGAUUCACUUAGAUAUUUUGCUAUUCUCUGGUGCUUAUAAUUUUGUGUUCAAUCAAGUCCUGUUCAGACUAGUCCAUUGACAAUUGAUGGCUCAUAUAGAAAGCUGAAAUAAAAAAGUACAUGUUGUUAAAGAAGAUCUGAAAGCAGGAAUAGCUGAUCACAGCAAUGACAAUCACAAUUCCUUAACCUCUCUCAAGCCAUAAAAUGCCAACUUGCAUAAUUGAAUACUGAAACUGUGCCAAGCAAAGCGGAUUUUGUGGUUUCAAUAAUGACUGGACGUUUAUAACGUGAUCUGUGAAUUACACAAUGUAGAAAUGCACAAGCCUCAGUCAAAUCCUGUCCAUAUACAGAGACUAAUUUCAGGAAUCAAACCAGGAGGUCAGUUCCUACAGAUGAACAUUUAAAAAGAAGAACAAUUAGUUGGAAAGCUACAUUUAAAAAAAGCUAAGUUGAC
rnacentral:lncRNA from 1 species